rnacentral:rRNA from 1 species
UACGUAGGGUGCAAGCGUUGUCCGGAAUUAUUGGGCGUAAAGAGCUCGUAGGCGGUCUGUCGCGUCGGCUGUGAAAACUCGGGGCCCAACCCCGAGCCUGCAGUCGAUACGGGCAGACUAGAGUUCGGUAGGGGAGACUGGAAUUCCUGGUGUAGCGGUGAAAUGCGCAGAUAUCAGGAGGAACACCGGUGGCGAAGGCGGGUCUCUGGGCCGAUACUGACGCUGAGGAGCGAAAGCGUGGGGAGCAAACAGG